UUGUAUCCCUAGGGGUGAACUGCUCAAUCAAGAACAAACGAAUGUUCUUGACCUUGCUUUGGCAGGCCACAAUGUUUUCUUUUGUGGUUCCGGCGGUACGGAGAAAACAUUAGUGAGUUUGGGAAACGCAACGCGAACGCGACGGCAACGUUGAAUUUUGCGCGGUUGGACUGGAUCGAGUUUAAGUUGACGAUGUCGCGUUUGCUGAAGUUCUGUUCACAACGGCAUUAGACAGACUUAGAUCGAGGACGUGACGUUAAGAGGACGCGAGAUAGCGUAAUAUGGCGCAAAAAUAUUGCGUUGUCUCAGAUGGCGACGUCGUCUUACCUAUUUUCAGGACGCCGAAAACGAAUUUUCACGUCCUGUCUAGGACGUCAAAGUUUUUGUUGUUUUUGUCCUUGCGAAAAGAUUUAAUGGUGGUCCUUUUAGAAAACCAAAUAUGGAAAAGAAAAAGGAUUGUUCAAAGAAAAAGUCCAGUAUGGUAUGGUCUAAUGAGAAAGAUCUCACACUUCUAAAGGAAGUUGCAGCAGAAGGUGUACUCACACACAAACAGAGAUCCCGGGAACGUGGUGCACAGUGGCAGAAUGUUGCAGAUAAUAAGUGGGUUGGGCCACGAAUUCACAUCAAGGGCAGUCAGAGAUCACUUCAACAUGAUGACCAAGAAGUAUCGAGCAAGAAUGGAACGAGAGGAAAGAUCGACAGGGGAAGGUGGUAAUGAACUCAGAGCAGGAGCGCUUGUUGGAAGAGCUGAUUGACAUUGAAGGUGAAACUGAACGACAGGAGGAUGAAAAUGAAGUAAGAAAUCAGAGGAUUGAGCAAGAAAGAGGACAAGCCUUGGAAAUGAGAGAAAGGGCAAUGGAAAGAAUUCGACAAACAAAGAAGACAACUGCAGGGACAAGUGAAACUGCUGGACAAGUACAAAAGAGAAGAAGUUCUGGUGAUAUGAUGGAAUGGCUACAACAAAGAAUAGAAGUGGAGAAAGAAGAAAAAGAGGCAAAGCAGGAAGAGAAGAGAGCAUAAAUGGAAGGGCAACAGAGGCAACACAUGGAAACUUUGCAGCUGAUGCAGCAAACCCAGCAGCAAUUUAUUGUGCAGAUGAAGCUAUCGGAGUGGAGAAAGAAGAAAAAGAGGUAAAGCAGGAAGAGAAGAGAGCAUAUAUGGAAGGGCAACAGAGGCAACACAUGGAAACUUUGCAGCUGAUGCAGCAAACCCAGCAGCAAUUUAUCACGCAGAUGAAGCUAUCGGAGCAGUACUUUCAGCAGCAACUGCAAAUGCAACAACAGCAGCAGCAGCAGCAGCAGAAACAAGAAUUCAGUUUUAUGCAGCAGCAAAUUGUUUCCUUGAUGCAGCAACAGCAACAGCGAACACAAAUGUUGGUGAACAUGUUCAAAAAAUAGUUUUAAUUAUAUUACAUUUUCAUCUUAAAAAAUAAGUUUCUUUCAUUUGUAUAUUUAUAGUAACAUUUUCAACAUUAAAUGAUUUGUUGUAAUCAAUUACCAUGAAUUUUAACAUUAAAUAAAUUCAUUAUAAAUUGCCAUGGAAACUCGUGAAAUACAUAUAUUGUUUAUAAACUGGUGGGCUGUUAACUACCCAAUAACCUAGUAAAUGUGUAAGUGUUAUUGCUAGAAAUAUUCAUGGAUUGAAGGUGGUGGAAGGUUAAAAAAAUGAGAAACAAUGUUCCCAUACAAGCAGGUAUGAGCAUUCUGUAGUAAUGCGGCCACACUAUCAAUCUUUUCAACCGGACUUAAAUUUACCUACAUUUGCCUCUUAAAAUCAACAAAGCUAAAGUACUUAGUAAUGUUUCCAAACAUCCACUCAACAGUUACCCUCACA